CGUUCACCAUACAACAUAAUUUCAUUUUGAAAUUGGACUUUGAUAUCGCUGGUUUGUGAUGAUGUUAUUAUUUCUCUUAUGCUGCGUUGGCGUAUUAAAUGCAGAUUCACCUGAUUCGCUAGAAGAUAUCCCGUUUGAGACUGCUAAGGUAAUUUAUCAUAAACAGCGAAUAUGCAUAUUUCGUCCGGGGCGUCCAACGUGUUAUGGAAGUGAAAAAAUACCAGGCGAUCCAAAAGAAGUUGCAGAUUUAUAUAAAGUGCAAAAGAAUUUUCAAAAUGAUAUUAAAAAGCUAAAACCGGAAAGAUUAAAAUAUAAAAGAGAACACUUGAAAAAUCUGAAAAGAUAAUAUUCCGCCAAUUUACUUGUUUGAAAAUGCAUGUGAUAUUUUUCCUAGUU